rnacentral:rRNA from 1 species
GACGGAAGGUGCAAGCGUUGCUCGGAAUCACUGGGCGUAAAGGGUGCGUAGGCGGCUUGGUAAGUUGGGUGUGAAAGCCCCGGGCUCAGCCCGGGAAGGGCACUCGAAACUGCCGAGCUGGAGUGCCGGAGGGGAGAGUGGAAUUCCUGGGUGUAGCGGUGAAAUGCGUAGAUAUCAGGAGGAAUACCGGUGGCGAAAGCGACUCUCUGGACGGCAACUGACGCUGAGGCACGAAAGCGUGGGGAGCAAACAGG